rnacentral:misc_RNA from 1 species
UGCGUGCAACAAUGGCGACUUCGGUAGCUUCAGCGCAUUCGGCAGGAGAGGGCCUAGAUGCCGAAAAAAAAACAGAUUCCAAGUGGAGCUUGAGUUCGUCCAGUGUCUUGCUAAUCCACAUUAUUUGAAUUAUGUCAUCAAAGAGCAUGUAAACACACUCAGAUUCCACUCAUGCACGGAUAAGAAACACUUUCCUCUCUGGACUCAACUGACCCAACGGCAGGAUUUCAAAGUAAAAUCAUCGACUACAGUCUGCAGCAACCACUUUAAAUACGGCCAGCCAUAUCCUGAUGAACUUCACCCAUCUUUAUUUUUGAGAGGAUACGACCUUCCUGAGACAC